UACGUAGGGCGCAAGCGUUGUCCGGAAUUAUUGGGCGUAAAGAGCUCGUAGGCGGCUUGUCACGUCGGGUGUGAAAACCCGCGGCUCAACCGCGUGGCUUGCAGUCGAUACGGGCAGGCUAGAAUUCGGUAGGGGAGACUGGAAUUCCUGGUGUAGCGGUGAAAUGCGCAGAUAUCAGGAGGAACACCGGUGGCGAAGGCGGGUCUCUGGGCCGAUAUUGACGCUGAGGAGCGAAAGCGUGGGGAGCGAACAGGA
rnacentral:rRNA from 1 species